rnacentral:tRNA from 1 species
UAUAAUAGAGGUUUUAAUCCUCUCACUUCC